rnacentral:rRNA from 1 species
UACGUAGGGGGCAAGCGUUGUCCGGAAUCAUUGGGCGUAAAGAGCGUGUAGGCGGCCUGGUAAGUCCGCUGUGAAAGUCCAGGGCUCAACCCUGGAAUGCCGGUGGAAACUGUCAGGCUCGAGUCCGGAAGAGGCGAGUGGAAUUCCUGGUGUAGCGGUGAAAUUCGUAGAUAUCGGGAGGAACACCAGUGGCGAAGGCGGCGACCUGGGCCAAUAUUGACGCUGAGGUGCGAAAGCGUGGGGAGCAAACAGG